UACGCCAAUGGGUCCUCAGAUAUACUCCUGUCUCACCUAUACAGAGAAGAACCUUAGGGUGGACUGUGAAUUUCCAGCCACUGAUCAAAUUCCAGGGCCUUACUGUGAGUUCAAGCAGGAUGGAAAGAUCAUCGGAACAACAUAUCCCAAUACUCCCUCAUACCUCAUUCCCACCCUUGAAGUCAGACGGCGCUCCAAUGUCUCUCUGGUGUCCCCAACCAUAUGCCGUCUCACCUGGGCUCCCAUGGCAGAUGAAAGGUCCUACACUUACACUUGCAGGGUGUAUCAGGGAAUGAGUUGGAAGGAGAACAGCAUGGCAUUUCACCAAAGAAAUGUUCUCGUCUGCUCAGCUAUAAGCAUAAUGUUCCACACUGGACCAUGGCUUCUUGGGAUUGUGAUAUCACUACCCGUUUCUUUGGGGUUCCUGUCCGUAUGGUGAACUGAGAAGUGGGUCCAAGUGAUUUUGAAGACCAUUUUAUCUCAUUUCUUUUUUUAAAAAUUGUUUAGUGAAAUAUAACACUCUCCUUAAUAUAGGCACAUGAUUUAGCAUUGCACAAAUUAAUAAUGCAUCCAUUCCACCAGUCUCUCCCCGUUUUCAAAGUAAUAGAACAUUGGGUCAGUAAAGGUGACUUGAUUUUAAUAUUAUCACUAGCAUGACCAUGGAGUGUCACUCAUCAGAUUGGGUUGUGUUUUCAGAGAUCGUAGGCAUGGUGCUAGUUUUGACUGGAGCAUACAGAUGGUCUAAUGUUGUAUGAGCACGCACACAUACUGUACUCCCCUGAGCGUUCAAGAGUGCUUACUUGUUUGCAUCGUUACUUUGGAUUUUGCCAUGCAGCACUGGAGCCUGUUUGUGUAUUAACAAAAGUCGGCUCUGCUGUAUGUGACAUUCAGCCUCCGAGUUGUAUCCUAUGAUGUAGCUCUGUGAACGUGGCAUCGUAAACUAAUCAGGAGAUGCUACUAAAUGAGUCUCUUCAGCGGAGACACAUAAUAUUAUCGCUCAAUAUUGUCAAAACACAGUGUCAAAUAAUGUUCCAUAAAGUUGUACACAGAAUACAUUUAUACAGUAUUUGACCUGUGCACAUAUAAUCACAUGGUAUCAUACAGUAUUAAUCAGUAGUUUGUAAGUCGUUUGGCAUCAGCCCAUACUCCAAACCAAAGAUUCUAGAACAGAGCUCUGUUCUAGAAUCUUUGCUGCAAACUCUGAUUUUGGAAUCAGCAUUGUUAUGUAAUAAUUUGCUUUUCAUUGCAGGUGGGUGUCACACUGCAAUGUUAGCUUGUAUCACAGUUCAUUAUUUGUUUCACGCUUUCCUUUGGACUGCAGCCUUUUGCACCAUGUAUUUCUCUUUAGUAGACCUCACUCUACACUCAGACUUUUGUACUUUUUUGAGGAUUCUUUACAGCAAAUAUUUAUAUGUGAUUUACAAUCAUUUACUGUAAUUGUUUUCAUAGUUGCACUGCAUAUAUACAAUGAUACCAGAACAUUAUAUGGUAAAUUAUGAUAAUCAUCGGCAUCAUUUCUGUAUGCAUUUUUUGUAUUUUUUAACAGUCAAAUGAUAUCCUUAACAGACUGGCCUAUAGAGCCUUGAUUGGUUGGUACUGCGACAGUGGUUCGAUACAAGGAAAUUCCUGCUAAUAGGUUUUAAUGGCUGUUUCCAUUACUCUCACGCCUACUAAGCUUUUGCUUGGAACAUUCUGUAGUGCAUCUCUGAAAACAAACCAGCUAAUGGGUCCUGUGUUCGUCUUUGAUUUGAUCCUAAAUUUUUUUGCCUCAGAGCGUGUCAGCACGAGGACAAACCUGGCUGAAGGACAUCGCCCAGUAGAUUGUAUUUCCACGUACUGUAAUGUAAACACACACGAUGCAGUGUUGAAAUGAAAUAUCAGGAUCACCCCAGAUUGGUCAAGGGCAGUGAAGCAGAGAAAGAGAAAUUAAGUUUGUUUCAGCUUCAGCUUUUAAGUGUCUUUCAGUUUCAGUGAGUAGGGCGCUCUAUGUUCUCUGCAAAAUCGUAAGAAUUGUUCAUGUACAGAAGAACUUCUAUUGACACGUUGAGGCCUCAUGCAAAGACUAUGGGUGCUUCUCAUGUAAAGUUUAUACGUCCUCCCUCGCUUCUCGGGCCUCGAUCCUCACUGAUCUACAUAAAGAAAGAUAGACGAAGGGAUAGACUAUCGUUGUUGCCACCCCAUCAUUCUUUAUGUAGAUCAGUGAGGAUCGAGGUCCGAGGAGCGAGGGAGGACGUAUAAACUUUACAUGAGAGGCUUCUUUUGAAGGACUCUCAUGCUCUCACCCGCCAUGGAGCAUACAUGUUGUUCCACGCUGUGCCACCACCUCUGCUUCAGCUGUGAUUCUAAUUGUGUUCGGUGCCAAGCCGACUCAUACAAAUGGAGACCACUUCUUUCAUUUCAACGCCGAAAUGUCUUGCAACACGCUGCUUUGCUUAUGAAGCACUUAUACAAGCAUAAAUAAUGCAUGGCUUCUACACUGUGCCUUUUAUUAUAUUGCACUAGAUUUAUUUCUUGGCAGUGCAUCAACAAUCAUUAAUCAAGACAAUGAUUUGCAUCUGCAACACAAAGACGCAUCUCUCUCUCUCUCUCUCUCUCUCUCUCUCUUUCUCUUUCUCUUUCUCUCUCUCUGUUUGGCUGUCACUGCACUUAACGCAAGGAUAAAUGUAGAAAAAUGGCAAAAGAUAGAAAUAAAGAUGUUAAGACUGUG